GGCAGUAUGGCUGAUUAAAGCGGUAAACUGUAAAUUUACCCAUAGGACCCACACUUGCUGCCA
rnacentral:tRNA from 1 species